UGGGGAAUAUUGGACAAUGGGCGAAAGCCUGAUCCAGCCAUGCCGCGUGUGUGAAGAAGGUCUUCGGAUUGUAAAGCACUUUAAGUUGGGAGGAAGGGCAGUAAGCGAAUACCUUGCUGUUUUGACGUUACCGACAGAAUAAGCACCGGCUAACUCUGUGCCAGCAGCCGCGGUAAUACAGAAGGUGCAAGCGUUAAUCGGAAUUACUGGGCGUAAAGCGCGCGUAGGUGGUUCGUUAAGUUGAAUGUGAAAGCCCCGGGCUCAACCUGGGAACUGCAUCCAAAACUGGCGAGCUAGAGUAGGGCAGAGGGUGGUGGAAUUUCCUGUGUAGCGGUGAAAUGCGUAGAUAUAGGAAGGAACACCAGUGGCGAAGGCGACCACCUGGGCUCAUACUGACACUGAGGUGCGAAAGCGUGGGGAGCAAACAGG
rnacentral:rRNA from 1 species